UACGAAGGGUGCAAGCGUUACUCGGAAUUACUGGGCGUAAAGCGUGCGUAGGUGGUGAGUUAAGUCUGUCGUGAAAGCCCCCGGCUCAACUGGGGAGGGUCACGCGAUACUGAUCGACUCGAAGGCAGGAGAGGGAAGUGGAAUUCCCGGUGUAGUGGUGAAAUGCGUAGAUAUCGGGAGGAACACCAGUGGCGAAGGCAACUUCCUGGCCUGUUCUUGACGCUGAGGCGCGAAAGCUAGGGGAGCGAACGGG
rnacentral:rRNA from 1 species